GGGGGGGGGGGGGGGGGGGGGGGGGGGGGGGGGGGGGGGGGGGGGGGGGGGGGGGGGGGGGGGGGGGGGGGGGGGGGGGGGGGGGGGGGGGGGAGGGGAAGGGGGCGGGUUUGGGGAGAGGAGGGACAAAAACGGCGCGGGCUGGAGUAGGCCGAAGCCUGCGGCCUGGUCUUGUUGCCACGGAAACGAAGCCUGCGGCCUGGUCACUCCUAAGGCCUGCUUUGGUCACCGUGACAACGAAGCCUGUGGUCUGUGUACUCCUAAGGCCUGUGCCUGUUGCCAUGGCAACAGUCUGCGGCCUGCUCCUGUUGCUAUGGCAACGAAGCCUGUGGCCUGCCUACUCCCAAGGCCUACUCCUGUUGCUAUGGCAAUGAAGCCUGCGGCCUGCUACUCCUAAAGCCUGCUCCCGUCGCCGUGGCAACGCGCUGCUGCUUGGCCGCGCUCGUAUCGCGACAGUGACAAUAAACGCCGACGCCGGCGACGAUAAACGCUGACUCAGCUGCUGGUGACAUCGGGGACGGGGGGUGGCGAAGGAAAAGGGGGGAAAUACGGAGAAAAAUGGAAAAUCCGCCACAAAAAUUAUUGAAAAAAACCUGAAAAAAAUGGUUAAAAAAGGCUCAAAAAGGGUCAAAAAAUGGUUCAAAGAAACCUCAAAAAAAAAGCAUCAAAAAGGCUCCAAAUAAUUUUAAAAAAAGGAUCCAAAAAAGCUCAAAAAAAGCCUCAGAAGCUCCAAUCCAUCAAAUUUUGGGGGAAAAGGGGGAAUUUUCAUUAAUAAAAGGAAUUUUCUGGGGGAAAAUUGGGGUUUGAGGGGAAAAAAAAGGGAUUUUUUUUUGGGGGGGGGGGGGGGGGGGGGGGGGGGGGGGGGGGGGGGGGGGGGGGGGGGGGGGGGGGGGGGGG
rnacentral:lncRNA from 12 species